GACGAACGCUGGCGGCGUGCCUAAUACAUGCAAGUCGAGCGGAGUUGAAUAAGUGCUUGCACUAAUUCAACUUAGCGGCGAACGGGUGAGUAACACGUAAAGAACCUGCCUCAUAGACUGGGACAACUACUGGAAACGGUAGCUAAUACCGGAUAACAUAUUUUUCUGCAUGGAAGAAUAUUGAAAGUCGGUCAUGCUGACACUAUGAGAUGGCUUUGCGGUGCAUUAGCUAGUUGGUAGGGUAAAGGCCUACCAAGGCGACGAUGCAUAGCCGACC
rnacentral:rRNA from 1 species